rnacentral:rRNA from 1 species
UACGAAGGGUGCAAACGUUGCUCGGAAUUAUUGGGCGUAAAGCGCACGUAGGCGGCUUUGCAAGUCGGAUGUGAAAUCCCUCGGCUUAACCAAGGAAGUGCAUCCGAAACUGCAGAGCUUGAGUACUUAAGAGGAUCGCGGAAUUCCCGGUGUAGAGGUGAAAUGCGCAGAUAUCGGGAGGAACACCUAUGGCGAAGGCAGCUCGCUGGGACGUUACUGACGCUGAGACGCGAAAGCGUGGGGAGCAAACAGG